rfam:Vibrio metschnikovii CIP 69.14 VIB.Contig146, whole genome shotgun sequence.
UUGAGCCGUAUGCAGUGAAAGUUGCACGUACGGUUCUGAGGAGGGAGGCAUCUGGCAACAGGUGCCGCCUAUCCGAC